AUGAACGCUGGCGGCGUGCCUAAUACCUGCAAGUCGAGCGAACAGACGAGGAGCUUGCUCCUCUGACGUUAGCGGCGGACGGGUGAGUAACACGUGGAUAACCUACCUAUAAGACUGGGAUAACUUCGGGAAACCGGAGCUAAUACCGGAUAAUAUAUUGAACCGCAUGGUUCAAUAGUGAAGGACGGUUUUGCUGUCACUUAUAGAUGGAUCCGCGCCGCAUUAGCUAGUUGGUAAGGUAACGGCUUACCAAGGCAACGAUGCGUAGCCGACCUGAGAGGGUGAUCGGCCACACUGGAACUGAGACACGGUCCAGACUCCUACGGGAGGCAGCAGUAGGGAAUCUUCCGCAAUGGGCGAAAGCUUGACGGAGCAACGCCGCGUGAGUGAUGAAGGUCUUCGGAUCGUAAAACUCUGUUAUUAGGGAAGAACAAAUGUGUAAGUAACUAUGCACGUCUUGACGGUACCUAAUCAGAAAGCCACGGCUAACUACGUG
rnacentral:rRNA from 1 species